rnacentral:sRNA from 1 species
CUUGGUCAUUUAGAGGAAGUAAAAGUCGUAACAAGGUUGAUCCUUCGCAGUCUCUGCGGAAGCCUUUGCAGCUGGAAACAGUAGCGAGAGCGACACAAAAUAAUUCUUGCCUUAUGCAAGUCAGCGCCUGCUGGCCACACUUUCGAAUUGCGGGAAACCCCUAAGAGCCUUUUACACCAAACCAGUCUGGGAAACCUGCUGGCGGCCCGUGGGAAACUACGGGGUAUGGUAAUAGUUAAAAGGAUGAACUACUACUGUGGAGUAGUAGUGAAAUGGGCAAUCCGCAGCGAAGCCCCUGCUGUUCAUGGCAAUUGAGUAACAGGCCACCAAAAGUAGCCUGUUACUGCAGUAACCAAACAUGGGGAACGUUCACAGACUAAGUGGAAGUGGGUGGAGUAUCUCUCUGCUUAAGAUAUAGUCGGGCCCCUUUGGAAACUCUGGGGAUAUGGGGUUACUGGCGGGAUAGCCAUGCUAUGCUGCUGCUAAUGCCAGCCAAAUAAACCGUUCCGUAGGUGAACCUGCGGAAGGAUCAUUACAUGAUAGUACAGGCCCGAAGCUGUAGCAAUACACGCCCAAAGGCUCAUGUCUAUUACCCUUGUUUAUCGAGCACCUAUGUUUCCUUGGUGGGCUUGCCCGCCAAUAGGACACCCCAUUAACCCAUUUUAUUUUGAAUCAGCGUCUGAAUAAAUUGAAUAAUUACAACUUUCAACAACGGAUCUCUUGGUUCUGGCAUCGAUGAAGAACGCAAGCGAAAUGCGAUAAGUAGUGUGAAUUGCAGAAUUCAGUGAAUCAUCGAAUCUUUGAACGCACAUUGCGCCCCUUGGUAUUCCAUGGGGCAUGCCUGUUCGAGCGUCAUUUGUACCUUCAAGCUAUGCUUGGUGUUGGGUGUUUGUCCUCUCCCCUGCGUUUGGACUCGCCUUAAAGUCAUUGGCAGCCUGUAUAUUGGUUUUGAGCGCAGCACAUUUUGCGUCUUGCAUCUAGUAAUACUAGCAUCCAUCAAGCCCAUUAUCACUUUUGACCUCGGAUCAGGUAGGGAUACCCGCUGAACUUAAGCAUAUCAAUAAGCGGAGGAAAAGAAACCAACAGGGAUUGCCCUAGUAACGGCGAGUGAAGCGGCAACAGCUCAAAUUUGAAAUCUGGCUCUUUCAGGGUCCGAGUUGUAAUUUGCAGAGGGCGCUUUGGCGUUGGCAGCGGUCCAAGUUCUUUGGAACWAGGACGUCACAGAGGGUGAGAAUCCCGUACGUGGUCGCUAGACUUCGCCGUGUAAAGCCCCUUCGACGAGUCGAGUUGUUUGGGAAU